AAAAAGCAGUUACUUUCUUAAUAGUUUGGUGAGGCCUUUAUCUAUAUGGGGAAUUCGAAGUUGAAAGAUCCCUCCCAGUGUCCCCUUCUUUCACUCACCGCCUUCCGGGUUUACAAUGACAACUUCUGAACCCUUAGAUGCAUGCCCGAUCGUGAGACUGCAUCCGGUUUCACCUUUCUCCAAUAUGAGCUAUGCGAGAAGGACAACUCCAGGUCAGACUACUCUCAAGAGAUAUGAGGAUCAUCAUAACGUGCAACAAUAAAGAAGUAAGUUCUGAAGAACAAAGGGAACAUGUUUUGGCGUUACAGCACAUAAGUGAUAAGUGAAAAAUAUCCAACUGAUAUGACAUUAUACUUUCAAGAGUACUGCUUGAGCUUAAAUUGAUAUUAUAGGCUUCCUCGUAAGUUUUAUUGUAAAUUAUGGCGAUCUUUUUAUGGUUUUUGUUUGGACGACAAUGUCAUCCAAGUAAAGUUCCAUAUGGAGUUCCACGAGGUAUUUUACUCUGUUUGCAUCGAUGUAUCGUUGAACGUUAUCAAGGUAAUAUCUUGGGUCAAAUUGCUUACAUAAUUCAAAAUAUAACUUGGUGUAUAUGGAUAUGUAAGAAAUUAUAAAUAUACAAGUAAUGUUAAAACUUUAUACACGAGUCAUUAUUGGAGUGACCAAAUUGUUACCAUA